AGCUGCACUCAGCUCUUAAAUGCAGCUAUUCACAGAGGGCCCAGGCUCUCCCCUGCCCUGUGACACUACGUGGGACACACACCUCCACAGGUGACUAUCAACCCUCACGCAGGCAAAGCCUCUGGAAGCUGUUCUUGUCUUCAUGGACACAGUGUUGCAAAGACGCAAGGGCGUCCAUGCGGUCCUGGGGAAGAGCUGCAGCAAGGCCCGGCAGGGUGGGCAGGCCUGUGGGUCUGUGUUCAGGUGACGGCUGGUCUGAGCAGCGCACUGCCUGGUCUCCUGCUUGGACAGCAGCGAGGGCAAGUAAUGCUGGACUGGGAGUCAGGCUAUUCCACAUCCUUGAAAUCUAGUUAUUUCCAUUAGCUUUGCUUUGUUAAUCAAAAAGUAUCUGAGACAGAUCUCAAUCAAUUUAGAGAUUUAUUUUGCCGAGGUUAAAGAUCAUGGCCCAUGACAUAACCUCAGAAGAUCUUGAGAACCUGUGCCCAAGGUGGUUGGGUUACAGUUUGAUUUUAUAAAUUUUAGGGAGACAGAACAGGCAAAGACAAAAAUCAAUAUGUAUAAGGUAUACAUUGGUUUGGCCUGGAAAGGUGGGACAUCUUGAAGUGGAGGCAUCUGCGUCACAGGUGGAUUUAAAGAUUUCCUGAUUGGCAAUUGGUUGAAAGGGCUAAGCUCUGCCUGAAGAGUUGAAAGCAGCUUGUGGGAAUUUGAAGAAUCUCCAGGAGGGCCAGAGAGUAGACUUGGAUGCCACCCAGCCAGCAAUAGAGAAGUUGGGACCACCCAGCCAGGGACAAGGCCACACCUCAGCCAUCACCACCCACAAGCAACGCAGCAUGUAUGAGCUGGGACAGGACACCAGAAACUACCUCAUGAUUGCUCCGGAAGAAGCAGCUGCAGGUGCUCAGCCAUCUUUAUUUCCUGCCACCCCCAAACUAUGAAGACAGCAAAGCAGCCUGUGGAGAGGCUGCUCACAGAGGCAACCCCACCCUUACUUGGUGAUGGCACGUGGAACUCCACCUCCCAGGUGGAAAAUGGAAAAAUUGUUUCCUUCUCUGAUCUACUGCCUGAGCUGUCAUCAGGAUUUUGAGGACUGACUUAAUGAAUAAAAUAUAAAGGCUUAGCGUGAGCCUGGGAUAUGCAUGGUGGAAGAGAAUAAAUAGCCUUUUGUAUAUCAAAGAUACUUUCUGGGUAACCCAAUCUGAGAAAUAGCUACUUCAGCCACAUCUGCUGUUAGGGAAGGCUGAGAAAAUAGUGACUAUAAAAUGAAAUGAGGCUUGUAGGUGAACCACAUGAAAUCCUGUGAACCGGGGAGAAGUCACCAGCUAUUACAAUGGAGUCUAGCUAAGAAGGGGCACGUGGGGGUGGGGAGAUCGUGACCAAUCAACAGUGCAGCUUGAAAAUGUGGGUUUUCUCUUGGGAAGCUUCAUUCCCUGGGAAGGAAGAAGCUAUAACGAAACAGGAGCAAUGAAGCUUUGCCUGGAGAGGAUGCUGCUCACAUUUGCAUGUUAAAUGAACUGAGGCCUCUCCUGGCUCCCCUUGGAGGGCUCUCAGAGGCAGCUCUAGCCUCAGAGGGUCUCUUGCCCACAUCUUACUCUGGUUCAGAGCCCACAUCCCCAAAGAGAGCCUUGUACACAGCAGGUAUUCAAUCAAUAUUUGUAUUAAAUUGCAUUUUAAAAGCUGAUUACUUGAGUGACCCCUUCCCCUACCCACCCCCAAAGACUGUCCUCCAGUAUCUCUUUGUGCAUAUCCUGAAUUCAAGCUGCAGUGAGAGGCUUUAGCAAGAGAGAGAAAACCCACUCUAAAAGCUUCAUUUGCGACAAUUUCCAUUUUAUUUCUCACCACCACCAGCCUUUGGACGAACAGGUCCUAAAGAGCUAUGGAAACAGCAUCGUGGAAACAGCACGAUACAGUUAUUGAAUGACUGGUCUGGGCCAAGCAUUAUUCUCGGCGCUGGGGAUGCAGCAGGGGGCCUGGAUCAUACUCAAGGUCACUAGAUACUUGUUACAUGAGUGAAUGAAGUCAUUCAGUACUCAUUGGCUCCACUGGGCUCUGACUUGCUGGGCAUGACAAGCCCACCAGGGAGCCCUGGAUAUCCCUCCUCUUUCCAAGCAGCUGGGGAAGCUGGUUGCCCUGGAAACCUGUUUUAGGUGGCAGCAUCUUCCUCCAGGAGGUCGAGGUGUCUCCUGGACCUUAGAGACUCCAGGACACAGGACAGAGCUCUGAACUGUGGAGCCGGGAAACCUGGUUCCAGUCUCAGCCCAGAUUUACCAGCCGUAGACUUGGCCAAGUCACUCACAAAACCCAAAGGGUGAGGCAGAGCUGGCCCUGCCUGCAUGGCAGGGAGAUUUUGAGAAGCAUGAAGAGAGUCAGGAAGUGCCUGGGGAUCGAAUCCACCCAGCAGUGCAAGGCAUUGCUCUCCCAAUUCUCCAUUGGGAAAAAAAAAUCCAGACAAAGACAGUACAGAGAAUAUGGUAGCCAAUACUGCAGCAGUCACCACCCGGAAAAACAGACACUAAUAUAAUAACUUGUGAUUUUUGCUUCAUAUCUCUGUGGCAUAAAACCAUGACACAUAAAGUUUAUGUCCCCCUUUAACCAUUCCUCAAUGCUAUUCCCCUCCUCUCUCCCCCUCCUCAACGGCAACCACUGAUAUGUUCGCUCUAUUCUGUGCUUUUCAUAUUUUAAAUAUAUUGUUUAUGGGAAUGAUCAUAUAUAAGAAAUAUAUUAUACUGUUUGUUUUAAAAGUUUGCAUAAAUAAUAUCAAAGUAAAUUAUUUAAGUGUCCCCAGCAGUCCCUGUCCCCGUCCACCUUUCCCUCAGUUCUCUUCCAUCACAGUAAAGAAAACUGCCCAAACCUGGUCACCGCCCCUGGACUUUCGAAGUGGCUUCCUACUUGGGGUCCUGCUUCCAACAUUGGCCCUGUGAGUGACAAGGAUCUCAUUCCUUUUGUGCUCAAAGCUCUGGCCUCUCUCUCCCUCCUUGGCCUUGCCCAGCCCAGCCCCACCCCUGUCCUCAGAACCUCACACCUGUCGUUCCCCACCUGGGGUGCCCUUCCCGCUGGCUGGCCCCUCACCUCUCUCAGAUUUCUGCUCUAAUGACAGUAACUGGAGAGGCCUUGCCUGAAGUCCCCUCCUCUUUCUCCUUACCUUGCUUUUUGGUUAUGCAUCCUCCUCCUAAUUGCUUUAUUUAUUUAUGUGUUUAAUCACCAUCCUCUUACUUUUCUAAGGCUCGUCCUGAUUUUUUUCACAUCCUGGUAUCUGAGCCGGCAGUGAUUCUAUACCUGGCAGCAGCCUGUGCGGCAGAGCUGUGUGUAAAGGGGUCCAUGCAGAGCCCUGGGAGAAAGAAAAAUGAAGGGGAAAAGGUUGACCUGAGCUUUUUCACCUGGGGCUGGAAAGUGGACCAGAGCCUAUCAUUCCAACCUGCAGGUGCCUAAGGCCCAACAGAAAGUUCACCAGGAAAGACCAAGAGAAUUGGGGUGACCCUCCCACAGUAUCAGAGGGAAGGGGAGUGGGGAGGAGUACAGCAGUGCAGACCAGCCCCACAGGUGCUUAGCCAGGCCUUUGGUUCUGCCAGGGAAAGGAGGGUGCCUUCCACAGCAUGAAAACUACACCACGUCCCAAUGUGUCCGGGACCUGCCGCCAGCCGCCUGCACAGUAGUCAGGUGGAUGCCACCGGGAUACAGCCCACACUGACUCCUGACCCCAGGGGGUACAGCCCACGCUGACUCCUGACCCCAGGGGGUACAGCCCACGCUGACUCCUGACCCCAGGGGGUACAGCCCACAUUGACUCCUGACCCCGGGGGUUACAGCCCACACUGACUCCGGACCCCGGCGUGGGAGGGGCUGGCCCGAGAUGAAAUCUCGAAGGUGGGUCAGGCUAGGUCCUGGAGUCAGGGGAAGCGUGGGGUUCAGGCCAGGCCUGGGUUCUCCCUGAAGUGAGGCUGACUCUGAGCCUUUCUUGAAACCCCAAAUGUCACAGCAGUGCCCCGAAGGUAGGUGAGGCUCUGUUGCAGGGAAUGCUGAGGAAAAAGGGAACAUCAGGGAUUGGUCUGGCCUGAAGCCUGCACUCCCCUAAAUUAUACCCUGGUAUGAUUUGGGCUUGCCCUGGAGUUACCUCAACUAACCUGGGGUCCUUGGGGGAAACAGAGAUGGACAGGGUUGAUGUAUAUUUCGGGUUGAUUUGGACUCUAAGGAUUAUCCCAGCUCAGACCUCGCUCUCAAGGAAUAGGAGCCUGGCAUCUGUCUAUCACCCCCUUGGCCCUGGGUAUAGUCUGGAUGAGCAGAGGCACGCGUGUGGCCCCAAGAGUCCCACCCUCUGGCUCUCUCCUCCCAAGACAUUCUGGAGCCAUGACAUGUCUCCCAGGAAGGGAGAAUUAUUUUUGUCUGUGGCAUAAAUAAAGCCAGGAAUGAGUUCCAAUAAUCACAAGCACAUGCCAGCAUGUGGAGGCUACUCUGACAGCAGCAGAAGGUUCCAGCACUGCCUGCCCUGCUGGUCCUGGCUGCAGGGAGGUGACCGGGAUGGUCAGGGGUCGGGAGCAGGAGGGAGCCUCCAGGAUUUUAUUUAAAAUGAUCAGGUUUUUCAAACAAAUGGAAAAAUAAAAAAAUCUUGAAAACAAAUCUUUUAAAAAUUUACCCACUUCACUCCAGAUCUUAAGAAAUAAAAAUAAAACAUGACUAUUCCUCUAGAAUCCUGACCCAUACCAUACAACUCUCUUCCCAGAGGUCAUUGCCAACAUCGAUUUCUAUUUAUUUUUCUCAUGCUUGCUUUAAUAUUUCUACUAUAUAUGUAUGCAUCUAUAAAUAAACUCUAUGUGACAUUGUUUUGUGUUU
rnacentral:lncRNA from 1 species